rnacentral:rRNA from 1 species
GACGAACGCUGGCGGCGUGCUUAACACAUGCAAGUCGAACGGAAAGGCCCUGCUUUUGUGGGGUGCUCGAGUGGCGAACGGGUGAGUAACACGUGAGUAACCUGCCCUUGACUUUGGGAUAACUUCAGGAAACUGGGGCUAAUACCGGAUAGGAGCUCCUGCUGCAUGGUGGGGGUUGGAAAGUUUCGGCGGUUGGGGAUGGACUCGCGGCUUAUCAGCUUGUUGGUGGGGUAGUGGCUUACCAAGGCUUUGACGGGUAGCCGGCCUGAGAGGGUGACCGGCCACAUUGGGACUGAGAUACGGCCCAGACUCCUACGGGAGGCAGCAGUGGGGAAUAUUGCACAAUGGGCGGAAGCCUGAUGCAGCAACGCCGCGUGCGGGAUGACGGCCUUCGGGUUGUAAACCGCUUUCGCCUGCGACGAAGCGUGAGUGACGGCAAUGGGUAAAGAAGCACCGGCUAACUACGUG